AAUGGAUUAGAAAGAAACAAUCUCAAAGUAUUUGAUGUCAAUGGAGUUAAUGAUAGAGUGAAUCUUCAAAGGGUAAAUAGCAUUCAGAUUUGAUCAACUUUCAGAGGCUUUAAAGUUGAGUGGCUUACUCUUUGUCUGAGGGGAACCACUAAC